CGCACAUUGCGCCCAUUAGCAUUCUAGUGGGCAUGCCUGUUCGAGCGUCAUUUCACCACUUAAGCCCUGUUGCUUAGCGUUGGGAGCCUACGGCAUAGCCCGUAGCUCCUUAAAGUGAUCGGCGGAGUUGGUUCUCACUCUAAGCGUAGUAACUAUAUCUCGCUUCUGUAGUGGUCCCGGCCCCCGCCGUAAAACUUACUCAGUAAACAAAGGUUGACCUCGGAUCAGGUAGGAAUACCCGCUGAACUUAA
rnacentral:misc_RNA from 1 species